GCCAGUUACAUUUAUCAGAAGAAGGAACUCAGAAUAAAUAUUGAGACUUUGUGAAGACUGUACGGAAGUCACCUAGAAUUUAAAGUGUGUUACAAACGACGAUCCAGUCCAAUGUUGAUCCUGGCAGAAGUAAAGUUGCAGGCUCACGUGGGUUGCCAUGGUAACUGCCAUCUGAUGCUAUCUCUCUGACAUCACAAUGGCUUUUAUUCAAGAUAUGACAACCAAGAACUAUCCAUAAUUACAUAGCAAGCAAAAGACAGUCGUUAUAACACGAGUGUUCUGUUUCAUGCACUUCAUGCCAACUUUUGACCUACCACAUAUGUAACUUUAUAGGUAAUAGUGGGACUAACAAUUAAGACAACCCAUUAGUGCUUACUGGGAAUAUUUGUUAAGUGUCUAAA